rnacentral:rRNA from 1 species
GAUGAACGCUGGCGGCGUGCCUAAUACAUGCAAGUCGAGCGAACAGACGAGGAGCUUACUCCUCUGACGUUAGCGGCGGACGGGUGAGUAACACGUGGAUAACCUACCUAUAAGACUGGGAUAACUUCGGGAAACCGGAGCUAAUACCGGAUAACAUGUUGAACCGCAUGGUUCAACAGUGAAAGACGGUCUUGCUGUCACUUAUAGAUGGCUCCGCGUCGCAUUAGCUAGUUGGUAAGGUAACGGCUUACCAAGGCAACGAUGCGUAGCCGACCUGAGAGGGUGAUCGGCCACACUGGAACUGAGACACGGUCCAGACUCCUACGGGAGGCAGCAGUAGGGAAUCUUCCGCAAUGGGCGAAAGCCUGACGGAGCAACGCCGCGUGAGUGAAGAAGGUCUUCGGAUCGUAAAACUCUGUUAUUAGGGAAGAACAAAUGUGUAAGUAACUAUGCACGUCUUGACGGUACCUAAUCAGAAAGCCACGGCUAACUACGUG